rnacentral:ncRNA from 2 species
GAUAUUUCCAAGGGGUGCCCUACCGUCGGGCUGAGAUUAUACCCAUUGUACCGGAUACGGGUAAUGCCGAGACCGGGAUGCAUAAUCAAUAACAC